rnacentral:rRNA from 1 species
CCGCGGUAAUACGAAAGGGGCUAGCGUUGUUCGGAUUUACUGGGCGUAAAGGGCACGCAGGCGGUCUUGCCAGUCAGGGGUGAAAGCCCGAGGCUCAACCUCGGAACUGCCUCUGAUACUGUAAGACUUGAGACUAGGAGAGGGUGGUGGAAUUCCCAGUGUAGAGGUGAAAUUCGUAGAUAUUGGGAGGAACACCAGAGGCGAAGGCGGCCACCUGGACUAGAUCUGACGCUCAGGUGCGAAAGCGUGGGGAGCAAACAGGAUUAGAUACCCUGGUAGUCCACGCCGU